UUUCCAUGGAAAGGAGACUUUCUCUCAAAGAAGGACCGCUCUUAAGACUUGGAAGUUCAUGAAAUUUACAAGGCGCAGAUAUUCAGGGACCUUAUCCUUUUCAGAAAGUCCAGAUUGAUGCAUGGGCCAUAAGGCUCUUCCCAAGCUUAUAACAGCAGUAACAAUGGCUGGAGUGGGAAGCCUCUCUGGAGCAGCUGCCUGCAAGCUGGGCAGUGGCCACUAAGGAGGCAGCUUUCCAGAGACUGGGUUUUUCAGUCAUGCAGCUGUUUUGGGGUCUCCUAUGCUUCUAUAAGGAAAAGCCACAGAAUACUAGCGAAUGGCUCGAGGUUAGACACAUGUGGGGUGGAUCGGCUGUGUCCCAUGCACCUCCUCCCGGUAGGACCCACUCUUGGAUAGCUGACACCCACCAAAGCCCUUCAUGGCUGUGUACAAAGCUUCGGCAUCCUGAUUUGGAUCAAAGUCUGGGAAGUCAUGGACGGAGCCUCGGUACAUGGCACUCUGUGGAGAAAAAAGCAGAGGGUGAGUUCCGACCUUGGACCUGGACCCAGGGUAGACUGUUAGCUCUGGUUCAGGCUGAGCUCUGUUCCCCAGAGAAGAGCAAGCACUGAGGUCACCUGGGAAGGGCGUGGCUGACUCUUCAGAACCACCAGAAGCAGCCAGCCCAAAGGACAGUGUCAUUCCUCCAAGGGAGGCGGCUUGGCCAAGCCUCACCACCCUUCACCACCUGGCACUACUAGGACAGGUUAAAAAGCCUGGCUGAGUAGCAGGCUGGAAAUGACCCCCGUGAGUGACAAGAGCCCCACCUGCGGUAUAUGUGUGUAUCUGGAGGUCAGAGGUCAACCAUAGGUGUUGUUUCUCAGGUGUCCUCUAUCUUUUUGUUUGUUUUGAGAUAGGGUCUCACUAUGUGGUCCUGUUUGACCUGGGACUGCUAUGUAGACUAUGCUGACUUUGAAUUCACAGAGAUCCCCCUGCCUCUGCCUCCUAAGUGCUAGGAUUAAAAGCAUGCAUCAUCA